CACGUAGGGGGCAAGCGUUGUCCGGAUUUAUUGGGCGUAAAGAGCUCGUAGGCGGUUUGUCGCGUCUGCCGUGAAAGUCCGGGGCUCAACUCCGGAUCUGCGGUGGGUACGGGCAGACUAGAGUGAUGUAGAGGAGACUGGAAUUCCUGGUGUAGCGGUGAAAAUGCGCAGAUAUCAGGAGGAACACCGAUGGCGAAGGCAGGUCUCUGGGCAUUAACUGACGCUGAGGAGCGAAAGCAUGGGGAGCAAACAGG
rnacentral:rRNA from 1 species